GAUGAACGCUGGCGGCGUGCCUAAUACAUGCAAGUCGAGCGAACAGACGAGGAGCUUGCUCCUCUGACGUUAGCGGCGGACGGGUGAGUAACACGUGGAUAACCUACCUAUAAGACUGGGAUAACUUCGGGAAACCGGAGCUAAUACCGGAUAAUAUAUUGAACCGCAUGGUUCAAUAGUGAAAGACGGUUUUGCUGUCACUUAUAGAUGGAUCCGCGCCGCAUUAGCUAGUUGGUAAGGUAACGGCUUACCAAGGCAACGAUGCGUAGCCGACCUGAGAGGGUGAUCGGCCACACUGGAACUGAGACACGGUCCAGACUCCUACGGGAGGUAGCAGUAGGGAAUCUUCCGCAAUGGGCGAAAGCCUGACGGAGCAACGCCGCGUGAGUGAUGAAGGUCUUCGGAUCGUAAAACUCUGUUAUUAGGGAAGAACAAAUGUGUAAGUAACUAUGCACGCCUUGACGGUACCUAAUCAGAAAGCCACGGCUAACUACGUG
rnacentral:rRNA from 1 species